rnacentral:rRNA from 1 species
UACAGAGGAUGCAAGCGUUAUCCGGAAUCACUGGGCUUAAAGCGUCUGUAGGUGGCUUUUUAAGUCCGCCGUCAAAUCCCAGGGCUCAACUCUGGACAGGCGGUGGAAACUACCAAGCUGGAGUACGGUAGGGGCAGAGGGAAUUUCCGGUGGAGCGGUGAAAUGCGUAGAGAUCGGAGAGAACACCAACGGCGAAAGCACUCUGCUGGGCCGACACUGACACUGAGAGACGAAAGCUAGGGGAGCGAAUGGG